UACGUAGGUGGCAAGCGUUGUCCGGAUUUACUGGGCGUAAAGAGCGCGCAGGCGGUCGUUCAAGUCGCGUGUGAAAGCCCCCGGCUCAACUGGGGAGAGUCACGCGAUACUGAUCGACUCGAAGGCAGGAGAGGGUAGUGGAAUUCCCGGUGUAGUGGUGAAAUGCGUAGAUAUCGGGAGGAACACCAGUGGCGAAGGCGACUUCCUGGCCUGUUCUUGACGCUGAGGCGCGAAAGCUAGGGUAGCAAACGGG
rnacentral:rRNA from 1 species